CGGGGUGCACCAGGCGCGAAACCUUCGCAAUGCGCGAAAGCGCGACGAGGUUAUUCCGAGUGAUUUCCGCUGAGGAAAUCUUUUCUUAGAUCUAAAUAGUCUGGGGAAUAAGGGGAGGGCAAGUCUGGUGUCAGCCGCCGCGGUAAUACCAGCUCCUCGAGUGGUUAGGGCGUUUAUUGGGCCUAAAGCAUCCGUAGCCUGCUCAGUAGGUCUCCUGUUAAAUCCACCGUCUCAAACGUUGGUCUGCAGGAGAUACCGCUUGGCUAGGAGGCGGGAGAGGCGGACGGUACUCCGAGGGUAGGGGUAAAAUCCUUUGAUCCCCGGAAGACCACCAGUGGCGAAGGCGGUCCGCCAGAACGCGCUCGACGGUGAGGGAUGAAAGCUGGGGGAGCGAACCGGAUUAGAUACCCGGGUAGUCCCAGCCGUAAACGAUGCGAGCUAGGUGACACAGGGCCUUAGGGGCACUGUGGUGCCGCAGGGAAGCCGUUAAGCUCGCCGCCUGGGGAGUACGGUCGCAAGACUGAAAAAGGAAUUGGCGGGGGAGCAC
rnacentral:rRNA from 1 species